rnacentral:lncRNA from 1 species
UGUGGCUCAUUCUCACCAACCAUUUUCUUUUCAGCUGCCCCCAAUUUUCACUUGAUUGCUCUGCUCUUGGUUUGAUACCUUUAUUCAUGACAUCUAGGAAACAACAAUGCAGCAAUGGUAACAAUGAGGAUGAGAAUUUUCAAAGCCACACCACCCAAGGUAGACUGGGAAACUGAAGGCUCUCCUAUAACCAGUUGAAACUGCAAGAAAAAUUGAAGAAGGCCCCCUUGCAAUCACUCUAAGUGGAAUUUGAUUUCUAUCUUGGGAUAAACGUUUCAACUGGAAGGUAAGUGCUAGGAGAUAAGAAAGAUAAGGAAGCCAUAUGGCUCAGUUUUUUUUUUUUAAUGAAGGAUUA